UUUGGGCCGUGAUCACGGGCGGAUCUACUGGGUUUCAAAUCCACAAUACUGGAUCGAGGAAGCCACUCUCCCUCAUACACUGCAAUGAAAAUUCAACCACGGCACCAGACGUCUUGAUGAAGACAAAGCCUCAUGUCACUGUUGGCUAUAUCAAUUACUGGCACACCAGCAGUUCACACUGGAUUCGCCGGGAGUCGUUGGUUCUUUCGACGAUGUGGAAAAAUACUUCAAAUAUAUCUCUCAUGAAGUUUAGAAAUGGUCGGCUCUCAUUCACCGUCAAGACCAGGUUGAAAUAUCCAACGGCUGCCAUAUUUAUAUGUUAUAUGUUUGAA